GCGCCCGUAGCUCAGUUGGUAGAGCAGCGCCCUCUUAAGGCGAUUGUCGUAGGUUCGAGCCCUACCGGGCGCACCA
rnacentral:tRNA from 4 species